GCAGCCUGAUGCAGCCAUGCCGCGUGUGUGAAGAAGGCCUUCGGGUUGUAAAGCACUUUCAGUCAGGAGGAAAGGUUAGUAGUUAAUACCUGCUAGCUGUGACGUUACUGACAGAAGAAGCACCGGCUAACUCCGUGCCAGCAGCCGCGGUAAUACGGAGGGUGCGAGCGUUAAUCGGAAUUACUGGGCGUAAAGCGUACGCAGGCGGUUUGUUAAGCGAGAUGUGAAAGCCCCGGGCUCAACCUGGGAACUGCAUUUCGAACUGGCAAACUAGAGUGUGAUAGAGGGUGGUAGAAUUUCAGGUGUAGCGGUGAAAUGCGUAGAGAUCUGAAGGAAUACCGAUGGCGAAGGCAGCCACCUGGGUCAACACUGACGCUCAUGUACGAAAGCGUGGGGAGCAAACAGGAUUAGAUACCCUGGUAGUCCACGCCGUAAACGAUGUCUACUAGAAGCUCGGAGCCUCGGCUCUGUUUUUCAAAGCUAACGCAUUAAGUAGACCGCCUGGGGAGUACGGCCGCAAGGUUAAAACUCAA
rnacentral:rRNA from 1 species